CAGUCGCCGCGGUAAUACGUAGGGUGCAAGCGUUGUCCGGAAUUAUUGGGCGUAAAGAGCUCGUAGGCGGUUUGUCGCGUCUGCUGUGAAAUCCCGAGGCUCAACCUCGGGCUUGCAGUGGGUACGGGCAGACUAGAGUGCGGUAGGGGAGAUUGGAAUUCCUGGUGUAGCGGUGGAAUGCGCAGAUAUCAGGAGGAACACCGAUGGCGAAGGCAGAUCUCUGGGCCGUAACUGACGCUGAGGAGCGAAAGCGUGGGGAGCGAACAGGAUUAGAUACCCCCGUAGUCCCUGUCUCUUAUAC
rnacentral:rRNA from 1 species